rnacentral:rRNA from 1 species
AGAAUAUUAUUUGAAUUAUUUUAUAGGUGAUUAUUAAUUAAAAUAAUAUUAGUGGAUAUGUUUUAGUAGGGUUUAUUGAAUUUAUGAAGUGAAUAAUAGAGGAGUAGUACUGUGAGGGAAGAAUGAAAUAGAUGAAAAAGUUAUUGGAAUGGAAGAAGGAUAGAGUUUGUACCUUGGGUAUCAGGGUUUAUUAAUUAAGAAUAGGGAUAUUAUAAUUCUCGAAUUAAAAAGAGUUAAGGUGGUGAAGUAGUUAAUGUGUUAUUAUUAUUAGUUACACCAUUUUAGAGAUGAAAUGUUAAACGUUUUUUAAGUUAUCUAGUUUCUCAAGAAAUGAAUUUAAUUCAUGUUAUUUUUAGGUAGGUGGUUGAUUGUUGUCAAUAAUUUAUUUCUAAUAACAAAUGUAUGAAGGGAUAAGCUUUUGUAUAGGUAUUAUAAGUUAUGAAAUUUGUAAAGAGUAGUAGGCUUUAAAUUAGCCAUCAAUGGAAUAAUGUUAUAAGUUGUUUUGUUAUUAGAUUAUUUUUUAAUAAUUUUAAUUUGUUUAUUGGGAUAUUAUGUUGAAUAGAUUAAUAUAAGUAAUGAUGAUAAAAUGAGUAUAUAGAAUUGUUUAUUUUGUUUUUUUUUGGAAUUUAUAAUAAGGAACUAGGCAAAUUAUCACUCKCCGKUAUAUCAAAAACAUCUCCUUUUGUGUAUAUUUAAGGUAGGGCCUGCCCACUGAAAGUUAUUUGAAGGGCCGCGGUAUUAUGACCGUGCAAAGGUAGCAUAAUCAUUAGUCUUUUAAUUGAAGGCUGGAAUGAAUGGUUUGACGAGGUGAUGACUGUCUCAUUAUAAUAUAUAGAAGUUAACUUUUAAGUUAAAAGGCUUAAAUUUUAAUGGAGGACGAGAAGACCCUAUAGAGCUUUAUAUAUGUAUUUAAAUUUGUAUUUAGAAGUUUAUAAGAAUUUAGGUUGAUUAUAUUGUGUUGGGGUGACAUAAAGAUAGGAUUAACUCUUUAUUUUAAGAACAUUGAUGUAUGGGUUUGUUGAUCCAUUUUUAAUGAUCAUAAGAUUAAGUUACCUUAGGGAUAACAGCGUAAUUUUUCUUGAGAGUUCAUAUCAACAGAGAAGAUUGCGACCUCGAUGUUGGAUUAAGGAAUAUAAUUAGAUGCAGCAGUUUAGUUGAUAGGUCUGUUCGACCUUUAAAUCCUUACAUGAUCUGAGUUCAGACCGGUGUAAGCCAGGUCGGUUUCUAUCCUCAUUAUUUUGUUAUACUUUAGUACGAAAGGACCAGGUAUUUUAAAUAUUUUAUUUUAUUUGAUUAUUAGUA